UACGUAGGGGGGCUAGCGUUGUCCGGAAUCAUUGGGCGUAAAGCGCGUGUAGGCGGCCCGGUAAGUCCGCUGUGAAAGUCCAGGGCUCAACCCUGGGAUGCCGGUGGAUACUGUCGGGCUCGAGUCCGGAAGAGGAGAGUGGAAUUCCUGGUGUAGCGGUGAAAUGCGCAGAUAUCAGGAAGAACACCCGUGGCGAAGGCGGCUCUCUGGGACGGUACUGACGCUGAGGCUCGAAAGCGUGGGGAGCAAACGGG
rnacentral:rRNA from 1 species